CCGCGAACCCGACCUAUUCUUUGGGGUAGGCCCCGUGCGGCCUUUAAAUGGUACCUGGGACGUAGUCGCUUCGGCGAACACCGAUGGAAAUAUAAGGUCGACCCUCUGGCUGCAGACAGAGGGUCGUCGCUUCGCUCGACCCCUUGGCUGCGGAGGGGGUCGUCGCUUCCGUCGAUGGGGUCGACUCCUUCUGAUCAAAGGGGUGCGACGACGACGCCGACCGGUCCGGCCCCGUUUAUUUUUUUGCUAACGUGUUUGCAGACUGAAACGUGAGCGAACGAAAAAAGAGAGACAACUCUCAACGGUGGAUCUCUUGGCUCGUGCAUCGAUGAAGAACGCAGCCAGCUGCGAUAAGUAGUGUGAAUUGCAGAAUUCAGUGAAUCAUCGAAUCUUUGAACGCAAAUGGCGCUCUCGGGUCUUCCCGGGAGCAUGUCUGUCCGAGUGUUGGCAUCAAUCGAAUCGCGCGUUUCGACGCGCGGCGUCGAGGUGUCGCGGCCGACGUGCGAGGCCGCGUCCCUUCAGAUGCAGAGCGACCCGGUCGGCGGCGCGAGCGCGGCGACUCCGGAGGCCUAAGAAGGAAUGGACGGUCAGCCCCGGAGACGACCCCGCCGCGCCCCGAUCGGGGAGAGGAAACCCGGGGAACGACGCUUUCGCGACCUCG
rnacentral:rRNA from 1 species